GGGAGGUAGUGACAAUAAAUACCUUACAGAGGUCUCGUUAACCGAGAUCUCUCAAACGGAAUGAGUACAACGUGAAUCCUUUAACGAGGAUCGACUGGAGGGCAAGCCUGGUGCCAGCAGCCGCGGUAAUUCCAGCUCCAGUAGCGUAUAUUAAAGCUGUUGCGGUUAAAAAGCUCGUAGUUGGAUAUCAGUGCGUGUCCGGUCCGGUAUGCCUGGCGGCGGCGCUCGCGCGUCACUGCUGGGCUCCCAAAUAUCGGCUGGCCGCAUUCAAUCGUGCCGGAUCCGUCGCCGGGCCGUUCUUCGGAGGGGCCUGGUGGCGACCGGCGACGUUACCUUGAACAAAUUAGAGUGCUCAAAGCAGGCUCUGAAUGCCUGUAUACAUAUUCAUGGAAUUGGAGAAUACGUCCCUGGCUCGAUUUGGUUGGUUUUGAGAGUCGAAGGGAAAUGAUUAAUAGGGACUGACGGAGGCAUUCGUAUUGCGACGCGAGGGGUGAAAUCCUGUGACCGUCGCACGACGAACUACUGCGAAAGCAUUUGCCGAGAAUGUUUUCAUUAGUCAAGAACGAAAGUUAGAGGUUCGAAGGCGAUCAGAUACCGCCCUAGUUCUAACCGUAAACGAUGUCGACCAGCAAUCCGCAACGGUCACUACACGGACUGUGCGGGCAGCUUCCCCGGGGAAACCAGAGUUUUUGGACUCCGGGGGAAGUAUGGUUGCAAAGCUGAAACUUAAAGGAAUUGACGGAAGGGCACCACCAGGAGUGGAGCUUGCGGCUUAAUUUGACUCAACACGGGACAACUCACCAGGCCCGGACACCGUAAGGAUUGACAGACUGAUAGCUCUCUCUUGAUUCAGUGGGUGGUGGUGCAUGGCCGUUCUUAGUUGGUGGAGUGAUUUGUCUGGUUUAUUCCGAUAACGAACGAGACUCUGGCCUAUUAAACUUGACACUGUCAGUCUCUUGUGACUGCGGUGGGCUUC
rnacentral:rRNA from 1 species